UAGUUUAUAAAAAAUAAUAAUUUGUCAAGUUAUAGAAAAGAAUAUUCC
rnacentral:tRNA from 1 species